GCCCUUAGAGUUUGAUCCUGGCUCAGGACGAACGCUGGCGGCGCGCCUAACACAUGCAAGUCGAACGAGCGAGAGAGAGCUUGCUUUCUCGAGCGAGUGGCGAACGGGUGAGUAACGCGUGAGGAACCUGCCUCAAAGAGGGGGACAACAGUUGGAAACGACUGCUAAUACCGCAUAAGCCCACGGGUCGGCAUCGACCAGAGGGAAAAGGAGCAAUCCGCUUUGAGAUGGCCUCGCGUCCGAUUAGCUAGUUGGUGAGGUAACGGCCCACCAAGGCGACGAUCGGUAGCCGGACUGAGAGGUUGAACGGCCACAUUGGGACUGAGACACGGCCCAGACUCCUACGGGAGGCAGCAGUGGGGAAUAUUGCACAAUGGGGGAAACCCUGAUGCAGCGACGCCGCGUGGAGGAAGAAGGUCUUCGGAUUGUAAACUCCUGUUGUUGGGGAAGAUAAUGACGGUACCCAACAAGGAAGGACGGCUACUCUG
rnacentral:rRNA from 1 species